AGUUGUACGGUAUUAUCUUCAGCAGAGCAGCGCGCAAGAAAAAUGCCGCUAUGUCUCUCCUGCUCAAGCUAUGCUCCUCCGCCGCCGGAGGCCGUCUCCGGCGACUCCCUGCUCGCUAUGCUGGACCACCGCUGCGCCACCAUGCGGGACCUCCGCGUCAUCCACGCCGGACUCAUCAAGGCCGGCGUCCUCUCUACAUCCACUCUCGCCGUCAGCCGCCUGCUGGCCUUCUGCGCCUCUCCGGCCGGGGACAUGAGCUACGCUUCCGCGCUCUUCACUCGAGUUCCCCGCCCCAAUCUCUUCAUCUGGAACACCAUGAUCAGAGGCUUCUCCCAGAGCUCCGCCCCGGAGAGGGCCAUCUCUCUCUUCAUCGAGAUGAUCACGUCGUCUGAGAUUCCGCCGCAGAGGCUGACUUACCCGUCGGUUUUCAAGGCCUACGCCGAGCUGGGUUUGGCUGAAUCUGGCGCUCAGCUUCAUGGGAGGAUCGUAAAGUUGGGGCUGGAAGAUGACCCCUUUAUCCGGAACACGGUCAUACAUAUGUAUACGAAUUGUGGGCUUUUGGGUGAAGCCCGUCAAGUGUUCGAUCGAAGUACUGAUCCAGACACCGUUGCUUGGAAUUCCAUGAUAAUGGGCCAUGCUAAAUGUGGAGACAUUGAUGAGUCAAGGUGGCUUUUCGACAGGAUCCCGGCGAGGAACACGAUAACAUGGAACUCUAUGCUGAGUGGGUAUGUUAGAAAUGGUCUGUUCAUGGAGGCGCUGAAUCUGUUCAAUGAAAUGCAGAAGAGCGGAAUUCGGCCUAGCGAGUUUACAAUGGUCAGCCUGUUGAAUGCUUCAGCCCACUUAGGAUCCUUAACACAGGGCCGAUGGAUUCACGAGUAUCUAAUGAGAAAUGGGUUUGAGUUAAAUCCGAUCAUGGUGACUGCUCUGAUUGAUAUGUACAGCAAGUGUGGUAGCAUUAGUGAAGCUUAUGAGAUCUUCCGGGCUGUCCCUAAGAAGGGAUUAUCGUGUUGGAAUUCCAUGAUCCUGUGCCUUGCCCGGAAUGGGCAUGAGGAGGAAGCGGUUUGUCUAUUCUCUCAGCUCGAAUCGUCUGGCCUUAAGCCUGACUCUGUUAGUUUCGUUGGUGUCCUCACUGCAUGUAAUCACGGCGGCUUGAUCGAUAAGGCGAGUGAAUAUUUCCAACUAAUGAUGGAGAAAUAUCAUAUUGUUCCGACGAUAAAGCACUUCAGUUGCUUGGUUGAUCUGAUGGGCCGCUUAGGAUGCAUUGAAGAGGCAGAAGAACUGAUAAGGGAUUUGCCAGUGGAUGCUGAUGCUAUACUGUGGGGUUCUCUGCUCUGGGCCAGUUGGAAGCAGGGGAAUGCCGAGGUAGCGGAGCGGGCUGCUGAGCAUCUGGUUGAGCUGGGCUCGGGCGAGAGCUGUGGGUAUGUGAUCAUGUCCAAUGUGCACGCAGGGUCCGGUAAGUUUGCAGAGGCAAUCAAGCUUAGAGUUUCCAUGAAAGAGAAGAGAGUAGAAAAGCAACCAGGAUGUAGCUUGAUAGAAGUGGACGGGGAAGUUCAUGAGUUUAUCGCCAGUGGGGGGAGGAAACAUCCUAGAGCCGAAGAGAUCUACUGGGUAUUAGAUGAGAUGGUGCCGAUAUUACGGGAGCUUGGAUCAGUUGAGAUGAGCUUAGUAGCAUGAUUUUUUUUCCGUUGCAACAGUUGGAUAGCUAAUGCUCCUUCAAGGAAGUUCAGACAAUCCUUUGCAAAUGUCGAUCGAGAUGAAUCUUUGAUAUUGUUUCUAAGGUGAAGAGCGAGGGUCUCGAGCUUGUCGAUGCUGGGAAGAAUCACAGAUCACCCACACCCGAAGAGGAUCGUUCCACAGUUUCAUUAUUCAAGAUGACCAUGUGCCAGACACACCCGUAAAUUCACCCGAGAACAAUGGAUUCAGAGGGUUAAUGUGCUCGAUUGCCGCAUCUCAAAUUUCGGAAAACAGAUCAAACACCAAAUGCAUUGCCUCUUCAAACAAUGCGACUAAUACAUAUCAUUUAUUAUUACUCAACUAAACAAUCCAAAUGACUGAAUUGUAACAUGACCAAUGUUUUCCCGCGCAAAAAUGUGAAUUGCCCCCUUUUUAUCUUUUGGAUCAUCAGAAUUGUAUUGUUUUCCUAUCGAACAUCGAUGUAGAUCUCACCGCCUCAAAUAUAUAAGCGAUCAUACAACUUAACCAA